UAAUUCCUUUAAGUUUUUGUCUGUUGCCGCCCCCGCCCGCCUACGGGAGGCAGCAGUGGGAAUUUUCCGCAAUGGGCGCAAGCCUGACGGAGCAAGACCGCGUGGGGGAGGAAGGCUCUUGGUUGUAAACCCCUUUUCUCUGGGAAGAACAAAAUGACGGUACCAGAGGAAUCAGCAUCGGUAACUCCGUGCCAGCAGCCGCGGUAAGACGGAGGAUGCAAGCGUUAUCCGGAAUGAUUGGGGUAAAGCGUCCGCAGGUGGCAGUUCAAGUCUGCUGUCAAAGACCGGGGCUUAACUUCGGAAGGCAGUGGAAACUGAACAGCUAGAGUAUGGUAGGGGCAAAGGGAAUUCCUGGUGUAGCGGUAAAUGCGUAGAGAUCAGGAAGAACCAUCGGUGGCGAAAGCGCUUUGCUGGACCAUAACUGAACUCAGGGACGAAAGCUAGGGGAGCGAAUGGGAUUAGAUACCCCAGUAGUCCUAGCCGUAACGAUGGAUACUAGGUGUUGUCUGUAUCGAACCCGGACAGUGCCGUAGCUAACGCGCUAAGUAUCCCGCCCCUGGA
rnacentral:rRNA from 1 species